GGGGAUGAAAUGGCUUCGACAAUUAGCGUUGAUUGUUUGCUAAGCGUGCCGAGAAUAUCUAUUACUCGUAAAAAUAUUAGGUAAAACAAUAAUUGCAAAUAGCAAUAAUCAAUCUUUAGCACUUGCUGCUUAAAGGGUGAAUUCAAUGUUUGCCUUCGGCAUUGGAUUCGCUUCAUACCAGAAGGCUAACUGCAAAAAGUUGUCAGUUUUUUGCAGGACAUUUUUUGACUUUUGAAUUUGUUUGAGGCUGACAUAACUAGAUGGCAAAUUCGAGAAAUAAAUUUAUGUCUGCGCACGGAGAAAACGAAUGGUCCGGUAGUUGGACGGCGGAUCGUUACCGCCCAUCUCCACGA
rnacentral:tmRNA from 1 species